UUUAUUGGAGAGUUUGAUCCUGGCUCAGGAUGAACGCUGGCGGCGUGCCUAAUACAUGCAAGUCGAGCGAAUGGAUUAAGAGCUUGCUCUUAUGAAGUUAGCGGCGGACGGGUGAGUAACACGUGGGUAACCUGCCCAUAAGACUGGGAUAACUCCGGGAAACCGGGGCUAAUACCGGAUAACAUUUUGAACCGCAUGGUUCGAAAUUGAAAGGCGGCUUCGGCUGUCACUUAUGGAUGGACCCGCGUCGCAUUAGCUAGUUGGUGAGGUAACGGCUCACCAAGGCAACGAUUCGUAGCCGACCUGAGAGGGUGAUCGGCCACACUGGGACUGAGACACGGCCCAUACUCCU
rnacentral:rRNA from 1 species